AAAGAAAUAUAUAUUUUAUAACGUCAUUCAUCAGAAAUUUGCAAGAAUACUUACUAUCAUAAUGAUGAAUCCCAAGCAGCAAAUAACUAAGAUGUGGAAGAUCCGUGAAUGGGAAUUUUCGUACAAAUAAUUCUGAACUCUUGACAUAUGAUAUCGAUUUGCCCGCUUACGUGGAAUACCUGAAAUGCAAUUAAGUCGUCGUAAAGAUUCCAAGUAUUAAAAGAAAAACAUUGAAUAAAAAAUAUGCUAUCCGGCUGUUAAAAGUAUUUUUAUCAUAUAAAUUCUCAUGUUUUCAAAAAUAAUUUAUAUCAUAAUUUGCGUACGAUAAAAUCACGAAAUUUGUGCACAAGAAAAUUUUAUAAGAUAUUGUAAGAUUAAAGUUCUUGUGCAAUAAUUGUUUCGUAUCUAAGAACAUACAUGUCUAAAAAUCAAGUACAAAAGUCAUGACAGAAGAUAAAAAUAUAAAAAUGUAGAAUGUAAA